UAGCUGUACCACAACGAAACCACGCUCUGC
rnacentral:sRNA from 1 species